GUCAGCCGGAGCCUGCGCGGUUGCCAGGGCGACGGGAACGCAACAUGGCGGCCUGAGGCCGGGUCCGGAGCGGGGCGAGCGCACGAUGAGCAAAUAUAAACUGGUUGGUAAGAUAGGAGAGGGAACAUUUUCGGAUGUUCUGAAGACACUGAGUCUUAGAGAUGGAAAGUACUAUGCGUGUAAACACAUGAAACAGCACUUUGAAAGUAUUGAACAAGUGAAUAAUCUGAGUGAAAUACAAGCACUAAGGAGGUUGAGUCCACAUCCUAAUAUCCUUAUGUUACAUGAAGUUGUUUUUGAUAAAAAAGCCGGCUCCCUUUCACUGAUAUGUGAACUUAUGGACAUGAAUAUUUAUGAGCUGAUAAAAGGAAGGAGAAAGCCAUUACCUGAAAAAAAAAUAAAGAACUACAUGUAUCAGUUAUGCAAAUCUCUUGAUCACAUACAUAGAAAUGGGAUAUUUCACAGAGAUGUGAAACCAGAAAACAUAUUAAUAAAGCAGAAUACCCUGAAGCUAGGAGAUUUUGGAUCUUGUAGGAGUAUAUAUUCUAAGCAGCCAUACACAGAAUAUAUCUCCACACGCUGGUACCGAGCACCUGAAUGCUUGCUUACAGAUGGCUACUAUAGUUACAAAAUUGAUAUGUGGAGCGCUGGCUGUGUUUUCUAUGAAAUCACAAGUUUUCAGCCUCUCUUUCCUGGAUCUAACGAACUGGACCAAAUUUCAAAAAUCCAUGAUGUCAUAGGCACUCCUGCCAAGAAAACUCUCGACAAGUUCAAGCAGUCAACAAUUAUGAAUUUUGAUUUCCCCUUUAAAAAAGGAAAAGGAAUACCUCCUCUUGUGCACAAUUUAUCUCCUAAAGGCUUCUCUCUCCUGUAUGCAAUGAUAAAAUAUGAUCCUGAUGAGAGAAUUGCUGCCCAUCAAGCAUUACAGCAUCCUUAUUUUCAAGAAUUCUGGGCAGCUGAUACACAAGCUUUGGCCACGCACAGAGUAAGAUUACUAGAAAAUACAGCAGGGCAAGUACCUCUGCAUUUGUGGCAAAUUUCAAAGAAAAGCCAAAAACAGGAUUCUCUUAGGAAAGCCCAGGAAAAAACAAAACAACAUCGACCCCCUUGUGGAGAAUUACCAAUAUUAAAUCUUUCUGGAGUAGCCAAACUGACUUCCUGUCCUACGCCUACAUUGCGUUCAGUUUUUCCUACAGCUAAGGGAAGUGGGGAAACCCCCGUGGUACAGUCUGUUAGAUUUAUGGGAUCAAAUAUCGAGUCUGAGAAACAGAAGGCCCUUGAGUCUUCCCUGAAACAUUUCCACUUACCUGCUAUAGAACGAAGAGGAGGAGGUUACUGACCACCUUGUAAAGAUUUUGGAGGAAUCAUUUUUUUUUCCCCCGUAUGGAAGAAAGGAUGGGAUGGAUAAGUUCAAGCUGUCAGGUACCUGCAAAUGGUACAGAAGAUGUUGCUGAAAAAAAAACACAAAACCAGGCUCCUUGUAUGCUAUUUGACUACGGUUUGUAACAGGGAUGUACUCUGCGACCAGAAAUGUCAGAGGGUGUGUUUGUCCAUUACUGUUGGAAUGGUCACCUCUGAAGUCCCAGGACAAACACACAAUAUUAUGUGAUUACAAAAUCCUCACCCCACAACGUUGUCUGCAAGAUUUCUGCUACAUGAUGGAUUUGGAGAUAAACCACUAAGAAUGAGAACAGACCACCAUUACUUCAUUUUCCUAGUCAAAACUCAACUAUAUUAAAUAUGAAGCAAUGUUCUAGCACCAAAGGAAGCUUUUUUUUUUUUGUUUUUAAAUGAAAACUCUUCCUUGGGUGAGCAGCUAGCAGUAGUAGCUGUAAUAAGAACUCAUUACAUUAUUCCUUGCAAAUUACUAUGUGAUUCACAUAAUUCC